rnacentral:rRNA from 1 species
CCUACGGGAGGCAGCAGUAGGGAAUCUUCCACAAUGGACGAAAGUCUGAUGGCGCAACGCCGCGUGAGUGAAGAAGGGUUUCGGCUCGUAAAGCUCUGUUGGUAGUGAAGAAAGAUAGAGGUAGUAACUGGCCUUUAUUUGACGGUAAUUACUUAGAAAUUCACGGCUAACUACGUGCCAGCAGCCUCGGUAAUACGUAGGUUGCAAGCGUUGUCCGGAUUUAUUGGGCGUAAAGCGAGUGCAGGCGGUUAAAUAAGUCUGAUGUGAAAGCCUUCGGCUCAACCGGAGAAUUGCAUCAGAAAAUGUUGAACUUGAGUGCAGAAGAGGGGAGUGGAACUCCAUGGGUAGCGGGGGAAUGCGUAGAUAUAUGGAAGAACACCAGGGGCGAAGGCGGCGCUAUGGUCUGCAACUGACGCUGAGGCUCGAAAGCAUGGGUAGCGAACAGGAUUAGAUACCCUUGUAGUC